rnacentral:rRNA from 1 species
GGCCGCAGUAAACUGACUGUGCUAAGGUAGCAAAAUCAUUAGUCUUUUUAUUGAAGACUUGUAUGAAGGAUGUGACAAAGAAAAUCCUGUCUUAAUAAAAUUAGUAUAACUUUAUUUAAAAGUAAAAAAGCUUUAACAUUUUAAUAGGACGAUAAGACCCUAAAAUCUGCUAACCAAUAAUACUUAAGCUUAAGAAAAUAUAUUAUAAAGAUGUAGAGUUAGCUUACUGGGGCGGUAUUUAUAAUCAUAAACUAAUAAAUUUAUUAACACAUUGUGUGAUUAAUUAUUAACCUUUAAUGAAUAAAAUAAGAUACUUUAGGGAUAACAGCAUAAUAUAUUUUAAGAGUACUUAUCACCAAAUAUGUUUAUGACCUCGAUGUUGAAUUGAGAUUACAUUUCCUAGAAGAUUAGGUAAACUAGUUAGUCUGUUCGACUUUUAAUAUCUCACAUGAUUUGAGUUCAAACCGGU